GACGAACGCUGGCGGCGUGCCUAACACAUGCAAGUCGAACGGAAAGGCCCUGCUUUUGUGGGGUGCUCGAGUGGCGAACGGGUGAGUAACACGUGAGUAACCUGCCCUUGACUUUGGGAUAACUUCAGGAAACUGGGGCUAAUACCGGAUAGGAGCUCCUGCUGCAUGGUGUGGGUUGGAAAGUUUCGGCGGUUGGGGAUGGACUCGCGGCUUAUCAGCUUGUUGGUGGGGUAGUGGCUUACCAAGGCUGUGACGGGUAGCCGGCCUGAGAGGGUGACCGGCCACAUUGGGACUGAGAUACGGACCAGACUCCUACGGGAGGCAGCAGUGGAGAAUGUUGCACAAUGGGCGGAAGCCUGAUGCAGCAACGCCGCGUGCGGGAUGACGGCCUUCGGGUUGUAAACCGCUUUCGCCUGUGACGAAGCGUGAGUGACGGUAAUGGGUAAAGAAGCACCGGCUAACUACGUG
rnacentral:rRNA from 1 species